rnacentral:rRNA from 1 species
AUUGAACGCUGGCGGCAGGCCUAACACAUGCAAGUCGAACGAGUGGCGGACGGGUGAGUAAUGUCUGGGAAACUGCCUGAUGGAGGGGGAUAACUACUGGAAACGGUCGCUAAUACCGCAUACCAUCAGCUGUGCCCAGAUGGGAUUAGCUUGUUGGGGGGGUAACGGCUAACGAAGGCGACGAUCCCUAGCUGGUCUGAUAGGAUGACCAGCCACACUGUAACUGAUAGACGGUCCAAGCUCCUAUGGGAGGCAGCGGUGGGGAAUAUUGCACAAGGGGCGAAAGCCUGAUGCAGCCAUGCGGGGUGGAUGAAGAAGGCCUUCGGGUUGUAAAGUACUUUCAGCGGGGAGGCGUUACCCGCAGAAGAAGCACCGGCUAACUCCGUGCCAGCAGCCGCGGUAAUAC